UUUUCGAUCGUAGAUAGUACAACCUGGGUUUCUCUGUGCCAUUCUCAGUCUCUUCUUAUUUGUUCAUAUCAAAAAUCUAUUGUUUUAUGCAGCUCAUGUUCCGAGUCUCAUCUUUUUUCCCCAUGGAUUCACUUUCAAUUGAGAUUUGAAAUUCACUCUAAAUUUUUGAUUUGGGAUUGUCAUUUUUAGGGUUGGAACUAUCAUCAACAACCUCGGGUGUGGAAUAUAUUUUCGAACUUCAUCGGCAAAGCAAGACACAAUGACUCGAAAGCGAAGAAUUGAACACAUCUCAUUCCCUAAUAUUGCAUUAGGUGGUCAGCAACAAACUAAUGAUGUUGCCACCAUGUAUGCGCCUUCAUCUUCUAAUAGAAAGAGACAAAGAAUGACUUCAGAAGUUGGUAUAUCUGAUGCCCACAAUAGUGAUCAAUAAGGAACUACUAAUACCAAUGUCAAAGCAACAAAUGCACUGAAAUCAAGGGGACCAAAAAAUGGACAUGCUACUUACCAGAAAAGAAGAAAUACAUGUAAUAUGCCGCCUAAAAACAAAAUCAAUACCAAUAAAAGAAUUUUGAGCAAUUUGAAAAAAAAACCAACAUGGGGUGCUGAAAAAUUGAUAGCCUUACAAAUUGAACUUGAAGGAGAAAACAUUGAGUCUACAAGGAAUUCUAAGAGAAGAAUGUCAAAAAGAUUAGACUUCUUUGAAAGUUUACAAGAUAAUGGAACAUCAGUGGAUAUAUCAGGAAAACAAAUGGCGGUGGAUCAUCAUCAUCAACUCCUUUGUCUAAAUGAUCUUCUUUUGAACAACUUGUUGUUGGUAAAAAGACACAAAUGAAAAGUCAAGUAACAUAGCUCUGCAACUGAGGUCUUUAUGUAUAUGUAGCUCCAUAUGAGGCUAUUUUGCACCUCCAGCCCACACUCGAGCAACACUAUUUUUCGCUCAAGUACAGUUUGUAUUAGAGACCUUGAAUGUUGAAAGGAGUAAUAACCCUUUCUUUGUCACCUGGAAUUGGAGAAGCUAUCACUUGAAUAGUAAUUUUGUAUUAUCUCUAAUCAAAACUUAAUGUAAUUAUACGGUUGUUUUCCAUCUAUACAUAAAGUUUAUUCUCUUUACCUAUAGAUACAACCAUUCAGCUACCAUCACCCUAAAAAAUUGUAUGAUUUUGUUCUCAUUUAACAACAUCAACCCGCAGCAGGGCGCGGGCAAGCUCCCUAGUACAUUAUAUUGAUGAUCGAGUCAAUUGAUUAACUAGAAUUGAAUUUAAUAGUUUAGGACUAGAA